CAGUCGCCGCGGGAAUACGUAGGUGGCAAGCGUUGUCCGGAAUUAUUGGGCGUAAAGGGCGCGUAGGCGGAUGGCACAGUCAGAUGUGAAAUUCCCGGGCUUAACCUGGGGGCUGCAUUUGAUACGUGUUGUCUAGAGUGAGGAAGAGGGUUGUGGAAUUCCCAGUGUAGAGGUGAAAUUCGCAGAUACUGGGAAGAACACCGGUGGCGAAGGCGGCAACCUGGUCCUUGACUGACGCUGAGGCGCGAAAGCGUGGGGAGCAAACAGGAUUAGAUACCCGCGUAGUCCCUGUCUCUUAUAC
rnacentral:rRNA from 1 species